rnacentral:rRNA from 1 species
AAGACAACGACGAACGAACUUACCAGGUCUUGACAUCCCGAUUGCUUAUUUCUAGAGAUAGAAGUUACUUCGGUACAUCGGGUUGACAGGUGGUGCAUGGUUGUCGUCAGCUCGUGUCGUGAGAUGUUGGGUUAAGUCCCGCAACGAGCGCAACCCCUAUUGUUAGUUGCCAUCAUUCAGUUGGGCACUCUAGCGAGACUGCCGGUAAUAACCGGAGGAAGGUGGGGAUGACGUCAAAUCAUCAUGCCCCUUAUGACCUGGGCUACACACGUGCUACAAUGGUUGGUACAACGAGUUGCGAGUCGGUGACGGCGAGCUAAUCUCUUAAAGCCAAUCUCAGUUCGGAUUGUAGGCUGCAACUCGCCUACAUGAAGUCGGAAUCGCUAGUAAUCGCGGAUCAGCACGCCCGCGGUCGAAUACGUUCCGGGCCUU